rnacentral:rRNA from 1 species
UGGCGGCGAUAGCGCGGUGGUCCCACCUGACCCCAUGCCGAACUCAGAAGUGAAACGCCGUAGCGCCGAUGGUAGUGUGGGGCUUCCCCAUGUGAGAGUAGGAAACUGCCA